rnacentral:lncRNA from 1 species
GGCUCUCGUUGGAGUGAAUGUUGCUUUGGGUUCCUUGAUUUCCUUGGAAGGAUGUAGUCUUGGAUAAUGGGGUCUUCUAAACCAGGAUCCAUUGCAGAAAAGCUCCCCUCCGAGGCUCAUCAGAGAACAUUCACUGCUCUCCUUUGUCAGCAAGGGGGGCGCACUGCAGUGCACAAGUAAGUGCAUGAAUAAAGGACACAGAGAGGGUGACCAGCACCAGGAAGGGGGCCUUCCAGGGAGGACCUGGAGAAGGAUGGAGACGUCUUUCAGAUCUCUUGGCAGGAUGAACCCAAGGGAAGAAACAGCCAUAGGCUGUGAUCUGCAGAAUGUGGAGUCAGCCACAGGAAAAUAUUGGGGUGUGAGGAAAACGAGGACCAAAGCCCUGAAGAAGGAGAGGCAAAGGCGGCAGUGGCUCUGAGUUUGUGUCCCAGGUCUCAGCUCCCCAGGUCGCGAGCUGUCGGGCAGCCGGGGUUUGAGAUUAACCAUCAGCUCUGGGAAGCAAUUACAUUUCGCUCAGGCGAGAUCCGCUCCUCGUCCCAUUCUCCCUCCCUGCAGGCUAUGUCAAAACACGAGGGCAGGAUCCUGCUUCUUCUCACGUUUCAAAAACACACAGCGGACUUGUGUUUACCGAGCGCGCGGGGCGCUGGCAGGCGGAGCCGCAGAGCUGGGGCCGCGCUGUCCUCCGCCGUCCUCGGUCCGGGCCACCACGCCCUCUUCAGGCGCCGCUAGCCUAGCUGGGUCUGCCUGGGUGUCUCAGAGCUUCGCACUGCAACAGUGUCACACGUUGUGCAAACAAACACCACCAGCCGCGAUCUGACCCUGGAUCAGAGGGCCCGACUGUCUGGGUCUCAGCCUGGGAUUCUCUUGGUGGGGAGGACAGUUGAAGCCUCUGAACUUCUAGACCGUUCUUUUUUUUCUUUUGUAGCUCUCUUUAACUUCAAUUUCCCCUUCUGAAAAAUGACCGAAGAUAGAUCGCUUUGAGCUCAUCCUCAGGUCUUCAUACUUGUUUGCGUUGCACUUUGCAAAGUCCUUUGGAAAUGGAUCCUUUUCCACAAAACCCUAAGCACGAAAGAGAUGAAGGCCUGUCUGGUGAAGGCAGGAAGAAGGAACCUGGUUCUCCCUCUCUUCUGCUCCGGGGCUCUGUAGAUGUACGUCUGUCCCUAGUGUCCUCAGAACGUGACUGGAUACAACCUGGUCACAUCACUGCUGCUGUCCUUUGUGCCUCAAACAUUCAGUGAUCCCAUAAAUGUACAAUACAUACAGAGUUAUAACUGUGUUUGCAAAAAUGUAUGUAUGCAUGGAGAGAGAGAGAGAGAGAGAGAGAAAGAGAGAGAGUUUGUAGAUUAUAACUAUGUAUUUUGCUCAAAACAUUUCAACCUCUUAUUUCUUCAAUACACAUUCAUUCUUAAAUAUGAGAUGACUAGAAGUUAAAAAUCACCUGCAACCCUGUUCUGUUGAAUUGAAAUUAUAUGGAAAGGUGAUCUCGCGCCUCCCAGUGCUUUCCAGUUUGGAUAAGCACGGCUCAGAAGACAUGCAGGGACGACACUUGGCCUUUCUGGUUAGGAGCUGAGCCCAGCUUCUCUUGUCUUAUCCUUUAGCAGCAGACAAAUCACUUCUGUGUACUUCGACC